rnacentral:lncRNA from 1 species
GCCAAAAGACGAAUUUAAGGAUAAAAGCUUGAUAUACACAAAUGUUCAAGGACUAAACCGAAAAUUGUCCCCGAAUUUUAAAAUGCAACAUUUAAUCGUUGAUUAAAUUGGGACUAUGUACAAAUCUUAGGAAUAAAUUAAAAAACGAAAGGGAAUAAAAGGGGUUUCAACUGAAUUAUGGCACGAGCAGAAGGGGCUUAGUACGCCAUUGUCCCUUCCAGACCUAACACGCGGGUCAUCGGGUGAAGGCCACCAUUCGACGUAGUAUUUGGACCACCAAAAAUUGGUCAAAACGGCGUCGUUCUUUCGCUCUCUUAUAAAGCUAACAUUACCUUCCUUCAGCCGAACCCUAACCAUGCCCUAGCCUCCCCCUUUUCAACAGCCGCACUUUUCAUUUUCCCUCAAAAACACCAGCACUCUGCAAGGUAUGGUGACCGGCGCUCCAAGCUUCAAAGUACGGCCCGUUUUAGCCACAGACCCCCCCUUCUAACUCCGAUUACGACAAAGUGAAAGGGGACCGACGGCCUAGCAGUGAGGUAAGUCCUUCGUUUUAUUUUGUUAUGCUAAGAAAAAAGACAAAAUAAAAAAAGGAAUGGAACUGAUAAAAAAAGAAACAAGGCGCUUCAAAUCACCUUUUCGAUUGCUCUUUUUCUUUGUAUUUGAUAUGCCAAAUGUGUGUCUGUAUUGCUUUCUAAUGCGAUUGCGCGUAAAUAUUACAAUGAACAAAAGCUUUGGCUUUAUAGCCGAAACAGAAAUAAGAAAGAUCCAAAAUAAAAUAAUAAUAAUAAAUCAAUACGAAUUCUCCUUUUCGUAUUUGCUGUUGUGGUUUUGUAUUUACUCGCAGGUACGGAGUCUGCUGGCAUGUGUACGGAGGUACGGGCAUGGCGUACAAGGGCUGUGGCGUGGCUGCUGAAACGUUGGGGCAUAUGGAGGCAUGGAGGCUGGGGCUUGGUGGACCUGCUAGGGUUUCUGUCUUGGUUUCAGUACUUGGGCCGUUUGGGCUUGUAACAAGUUUGGGCUAGGGCAUUGGUUAUUGGGCCAUGUAAUUGGACUUGUUAUUAGAUUUAAGUUUUGGUCUUGUAUUAAUUUUGGGUUUUGGACUGUAAAAAAGGAUAUUUAAUGGACUGUGGUUAUUUAUUUAUUUAUUUAUUUUAUAUUUAUAUAUAUGUUUGGGGUUUUUUAGCGGGCCCGGGCCAAAAUUGGUCACUACAGCUACUAUUUCAACUAUGAAAGUAAAAGUGCGUAAAAUAUAAAAAUGAUCAUCAAAAUUAUGCAGGUCUUUAUCCAUAACAAUGAUUCACUAUCUUCCUCACAGUGCAACUAAUUUUUUACAUCCUAGUAUUGGUCUAACACUCAUCAAUUUAGAAAUCUCAUUGUUGUACAAAGACUAAAUCACUCCCCCACUAAGUUUUUCUCUCGAAAGUUUAGUUUUGCAAUCUAGAGACUCUCUUGAUUGCUUACAGAAGCAAUGCACACAUAAAAU